rnacentral:rRNA from 1 species
ACUCCUACGGGAGACAGCAGUGGGGAAUAUUGGACAAUGGGCGCAAGCCUGAUCCAGCCAUGCCGCGUGAGUGAUGAAGGCCCUAGGGUUGUAAAGCUCUUUCACCGGUGAAGAUAAUGACGGUAACCGGAGAAGAAGCCCCGGCUAACUUCGUGCCAGCAGCCGCGGUAAUACGAAGGGGGCUAGCGUUGUUCGGAUUUACUGGGCGUAAAGCGCACGUAGGCGGACUAUUAAGUCAGGGGUGAAAUCCCGGGGCUCAACCCCGGAACUGCCUUUGAUACUGGUAGUCUUGAGUUCGAGAGAGGUGAGUGGAAUUCCGAGUGUAGAGGUGAAAUUCGUAGAUAUUCGGAGGAACACCAGUGGCGAAGGCGGCUCACUGGCUCGAUACUGACGCUGAGGUGCGAAAGCGUGGGGAGCAAACAGGAUUAGAUACCCGAGUAGUCCC